GACGAACGCUGGCGGCGUGCCUAAUACAUGCAAGUAGAACGCACAGUUUAUACCGUAGCUUGCUACACCAUAGACUGUGAGUUGCGAACGGGUGAGUAACGCGUAGGUAACCUGCCUGGUAGCGGGGGAUAACUAUUGGAAACGAUAGCUAAUACCGCAUAAUAUUAAUUAUUGCAUGAUAAUUGAUUGAAAGAUGCAACUGCAUCACUACAAAAUGGACCUGCGUUGUAUUAGCUAGUAGGUGAGGUAACGGCUCACCUAGGCGACGAUACAUAGCCGACCUGAGAGGGUGAUCGGCCACACUGGGACUGAGACACGGCCCAGACUCCUACGGGAGGCAGCAGUAGGGAAUCUUCGGCAAUGGACGAAAGUCUGACCGAGCAACGCCGCGUGAGUGAAGAAGGUUUUCGGAUCGUAAAGCUCUGUUGUAAGAGAAGAACGGGUGUGAGAGUGGAAAGUUCACACUGUGACGGUAUCUUACCAGAAAGGGACGGCUAACUACGUG
rnacentral:rRNA from 1 species